GUCCACACCGUAAACGAUGGAUACUAGGUGUAGGAGGUAUCGACCCCUUCUGUGCCGCAGUUAACACAAUAAGUAUCCCACCUGGGGAGUACGGUCGCAAGACUGAAACUCAAAGGAAUUGACGGGGCCCGCACAAGCAGUGGAGUAUGUGGUUUAAUUCGAAGCAACGCGAAGAACCUUACCUGGUCUUGACAUCCCGAUGACCGCUCUAGAGAUAGAGCUUCUCUUCGGAGCAUCGGUGACAGGUGGUGCAUGGUUGUCGU
rnacentral:rRNA from 1 species